AUUGAACGCUGGCGGCAGGCCUAACACAUGCAAGUCGAACGAGUGGCGGACGGGUGAGUAAUGUCUGGGAAACUGCCCGAUGGAGGGGGAUAACUACUGGAAACGGUAGCUAAUACCGCAUACCAUCGGAUGUGCCCAGAUGGGAUUAGCUAGUAGGUGGGGUAAAGGCUCACCUAGGCGACGAUCCCUAGCUGGUCUGAGAGGAUGACCGCCCACACUGGAACUGGGACACGGUCCAUACUCCUACGGGGGGCAGCGGUGGGGAAUAUUGCACAAUGGGCGCAAGCCUGAUGCAGCCAUGCCGCGUGUAUGAAGAGGGCCUUCGGGUUGUAAAGUACUUUCAGCGGGGAGGCGUUACCCGCAGAGGAAGCACGGGCAAACUCCGUGCCAGCAGCCGCGGUAAUU
rnacentral:rRNA from 1 species